rnacentral:tRNA from 1 species
GCGGAUGUGGUGGAAUUGGUAGACACACUGGAUUUAGGUUCCAGCGCCGAAAGGCGUAAGAGUUCGAGUCUCUUCAUCCGCACCA